UUCCGGUUGAUCCUGCCGGAGGCCACUGCUAUGGGGGUCCGACUAAGCCAUGCGAGUCAUGGGGCGCGCUCUGCGCGCACCGGCGGACGGCUCAGUAACACGUCGGUAACCUACCCUCGGGAGGGGGAUAACCCCGGGAAACUGGGGCUAAUCCCCCAUAGGCCUGGGGUACUGGAAGGUCCCCAGGCCGAAAGGGGCUCUGCCCGCCCGAGGAUGGGCCGGCGGCCGAUUAGGUAGUUGGUGGGGUAACGGCCCACCAAGCCGAAGAUCGGUACGGGCCAUGAGAGUGGGAGCCCGGAGAUGGACACUGAGACACGGGUCCAGGCCCUACGGGGCGCAGCAGGCGCGAAACCUCCGCAAUGCGGGCAACCGCGACGGGGGGACCCCCAGUGCCGUGGCACAGCCACGGCUUUUCCGGAGUGUAAAAAGCUCCGGGAAUAAGGGCUGGGCAAGGCCGGUGGCAGCCGCCGCGGUAAUACCGGCGGCCCAAGUGGUGGCCGCUAUUAUUGGGCCUAAAGCGUCCGUAGCCGGGCCCGUAAGUCCCUGGCGAAAUCCCACGGCUCAACCGUGGGGCUUGCUGGGGAUAGUGCGGGCCUUGGGACCGGGAGAGGCCGGGGGUACCCCUGGGGUAGGGGUGAAAUCCUAUAAUCCCAGGGGGACCGCCAGUGGCGAAGGCGCCCGGCUGGAACGGGUCCGACGGUGAGGGACGAAGGCCAGGGGAGCGAACCGGAUUAGAUACCCUGGAGUAGUCCUGGCUGUAAAGGAUGCGGGCUAGGUGUCGGGCGAGCUUCGUAGCUCGCCCGGUGCAGAAGGGAAGCCGUUAACGCCCGCCGCCUGGGGAGUACGGCCGCAAGGCUGAAACUUAAAGGAAUUGGCGGUGGAGCAC
rnacentral:rRNA from 1 species